rnacentral:rRNA from 1 species
UACAGAGGGUGCAAGCGUUGUUCGGAAUUAUUGGGCGUAAAGGGCGCGUAGGCGGUGCGGUAAGUCUGUAGUGAAAUCUCUGGGCUCAACUCAGAGUCUGCUGCAGAAACUGCCGUGCUUGAGUGUGGGAGAGGUGAGUGGAAUUCCCGGUGUAGCGGUGAAAUGCGCAGAUAUCGGGAGGAACACCCGUAGCGAAGGCGGCACUCUGGGCCGGUACUGACGCUGAGGAGCGAAAGCGUGGGGAGCAAACAGG